rnacentral:rRNA from 1 species
GACGAACGCUGGCGGCGUGCUUAACACAUGCAAGUCGAACGGUAAGGCCUCUUCGGGGGUACACGAGCGGCGAACGGGUGAGUAACACGUGGGUGAGUUCCCCUCAGCUCUGGGUUAAGCCUGGGAAACUGGGUCAAAUACCGGAUAUAACCGUUCCUCGCAUGGGGGGUGGUGGCAAGUUUGUUCGGCGGGGGAUGGGCGCGCGGCCUAUUAGCUUGUUGGUGGGGUGGUGGCCUACCAAGGGGACGACGGGUAGCCGGCCUGCGAGGGCGACCGGCCGCACUGGGACUGAGGCACGGGCCAGACACCUACGGGAGGGAGCAGUGGGGUAUAUUGCGCAAUGGGCGGAAGCCUGACGCAGCGACGGCGCGUGAGGGAUGACGGCGUUCGGGGAGUAGACCUCUUUUGACCCCGACGGAUUUGGACGGUAGGGGGAGAAGAAGCACCGGCUAACUACGUG